GUACACGCUGUGACUAGCAUAUCAAUAAGCGGAGGAAAAGAAACUAACUAGGAUUCCCUCAGUAACGGCGAGUGAAGCGGGAAGAGCUCAAAUUUGAAAUCUUCAAGGUUCUACCUUGACGAAUUGUAGUUUAAAGAAGUGUUUUCUGUUGGAGUUUUGGUAAAAGUUCUUUGGAAUAGGACAUCAUAGAGGGUGAGAAUCCCGUAUUUGACCAUUAUUUCCAGCUUUGUGAUACACUUUCAAAGAGUCGGAUUGUUUGGGAAUGCAGUCCAAAAUGGGUGGUAAAUUUCAUCUAAAGCUAAAUACUGGCGAGAGACCGAUAGCGAACAAGUACCGUGAGGGAAAGAUGAAAAGAACUUUGAAAAGAGAGUUAAACAGUACGUGAAAUUGUCAAAAGGGAAGCGUUUGACACCAGUGUUGUUUUCUCGAAAAUCAAUUAAAAAAGGCAGGAUUUUGUGUUGUAUUGACCUUUAUCAGCUUUCUGCACUCCUUUCCUGUCUUUUUUAAUGCACUUUUCGUUUAACAAGUCAACAUCAAUUUCUUUUGUUGUAAAAGGGUCAUUGGAAGGUGGCUUUCUUUUCGGAGAAAGUGUUUAUAGCCUUUGGCCUCUGCAAUCGGAGAGAUUGAGGUCUGCAGCGUAGAUCCUUCGGGGUUAGAUACAUUUGUGCUAAGUUAUAGCCUUUCAUAGACAACUUGUUGACUAUGAUCAGUCAUGUAGCUUACUCGCUUAUGCUAUUUUACCUACGCUUAGGAUGUUGAAGACUCUACAGAGAUA
rnacentral:rRNA from 1 species